rnacentral:rRNA from 1 species
GGACCCGCACAAGUAGUGGAGCAUGUGGUUUAAUUCGAAGAUACGCGCAGAACCUUACCAACACUUGACAUGUUCGUCGCGACUCUAAGAGAUUAAAGUUUUCGGUUCGGCCGGACGAAACACAGGUGCUGCAUGGCUGUCGUCAGCUCGUGUCGUGAGAUGUUGGGUUAAGUCCCGCAACGAGCGCAACCCUCACUUUUAGUUGCCAUCAUUAAGUUGGGCACUCUGAAAGAACUGCCAGUGAUAAGCUGGAGGAAGGUGGGGAUGACGUCAAGUCCUCAUGGCCCUUACGUGUUGGGCUACACACGUGCUACAAUGGUAUCUACAACAGGAAGCAAGACUGCGAAGUUAAGCAAAUCCUUAAAAGAUACCUCAGUUCGGAUUGCACUCUGCAACUCGAGUGCAUGAAGCUGGAAUCGCUAGUAAUGG